rnacentral:misc_RNA from 1 species
UAUAUAUACACAUACAUAUAUAUAUAUAUAUAUAUAUAUGUACAACAACACAACAUAUACUCUCACCGGUAUAUUCGUUCACCUAACUCGCGAUAGGAGUGAGGAGGAGUACUCCGUACGGGGAUUUCGAAUUCGCAUUCGCGCGCUUGAACACUGUCAGGGACGGACUGUGGUGUGUUCUUCCUAUUCCGAUUUUAAACUCGCGAUUCGAGUUUUCCACUUUAUCCAUUCAUUUUUUUCCUUCCAUUCAUUCGUACUUUCCUUUUCUUUUUUCUAUACUACACGGUAGUAUAUUUGAUUGCAAAUUUGUAUUAAUCAUUUGACUUGUAUCUUUCUUUCUUCCUCGUGCUUUUUUUUCGUCUUCACCGUAUAUAUAUAUAUAUAUAUAUAUGUAUAAAUAAUAUAUACAUUGUGUGGUAAACGGUAUCGCGAUUAGAUGAGAGGGAUAAAAGAAAAUAUGAGAACAUGAAUCCCUGCGACAGUAGGGCGGUGUAUCUAAUAGUGUGUGAGUGUUUUGUCAGUUGGUGACUACUAUUCGUGAGUACUAUCGAUAAUUCAACAACAACCAACAACCAAUAACCAAGAGGGACACUACAAAGAAGAACAGGAACAUUUAUUUCAUCUCUGGCAUAUCUUUUUUUGUGGAUAAACGGAAUCAAAAGUAGAGAAAGAGAAGAUUUCAAUUAUCGAGGAUCAUCCCCCUUCUAUUCGAAUGGCAGAAAGAAUUCUUCAUUGGUGAAGUAAUACUAAAAGUAGAAAGGAAUAUUUGCCGUUCCUACGGAGUGGCAAAAGGAACAAAAAGGGACGAAAAAAGUUGGGCGACGUAUCGAGGGUGGUUUUGGAUGAUAGAAGGCGCGGGGGUGGCUAAAGAGGCCCCGCCGCAGCGUACGGGUCCCGAUGCCGGUCCCCGUAUCGCAAACCCUCACGCUAACCCUCUCGCUAACCUCCACCCUAGUACCCAAGGAGGAGUCAAACAUGCCCUUCAUAGACGACGAAUUACUUUGGUGCCCUGAUAAUGAUGGAAAGAUGGUCGAUUUAACUCAAUGCCUUCAGGAGAGUAGUACUGGCCAGUCGGUCGAGUUUUCUCCAAUGGAGUUGAGCGCGCUUGUUGGAACACCUGCUGCACCUAAUGUACCAGCGGAAGAAGGUGAAGGUAUGUCAAAUGUAACUGGGGAAGAACCCUUCGAUACCUUAGACACUUUUCUUCGAGAACUUCAAGCGGAUUUGGCCGAAGCAAGUCAACCAAGUUCUACCACGACACCUCUUACGAAUUCCUGUAGGCGGCAAAGGUACAACAUCGCAGCAGCGAAUCCUUUAUUAGCGGAAAAAUUAGCCGCACCAUCGUCCCAAGCAUCUCCAACGACAAUCCCGUAUGCUACGAGGGCGGAGAUUAAAACGGAGAAUAUUCAACACGAGACGAGCAAAGUUGACACAAGGGAGGUACAACCACACGAGACGACGACAAACGAGAAAGAACAAUUAGGUUUGGCGAGUGUUAAAGUAGAACCAGGUUCUACGAGUGCGAGUACAGCGAACACAACUACCGGUGCACGUUUACUUCAUGGAAUCCUUUCGCAGCAUCCCCAACAACAUACGCUUGGGGUGCAAAACGGUUAUGGCCGACAUAUGCAGACACCAGCCGGCCAUCCUCAAAUGGCUCAACCACCCUAUACCACUGCCGCCAUUGCUACCACGAGUACGCCAGGAAGCGGAUCACUGCCAGCCAGCCCUGCGGACAGCGGAGUCAGUGACGUAGAAUCAAGUACGUCCUCAGGUGGUAACGAGGACGCGAAUCUCCUAUUAAAAGCUAGGCUCAAUCCUAAUUCGUCCCUUCAACCGAGUCUAGCGUCACAUCAUUCACAUUUAUCCUCAGCUUUGGGUAGGUCAGCCUGUCACAGUCCUGGUGUAUAUCCAUCAACGGCGGGUUUUCUACCACCCUCUUAUCAUCCCCAUCAACAUCAUCCCUCUCAGUAUCACCCUCACAGAGGAAGUUCACCACACAAUCAACACAAUAAUCACAGUAUGGGAGCUGCAAUGGGACCCCCACAUCAUCAUCAUCAUCAUCAAACGCAAAGUCUUCAACAUUUGCACUAUCGUCAACCACCAACAUUAUCGGAGAGUUAUAGCAGUUACGUAAACUCAAUGUACGGUGGUGGAGGACAAUUCGCAACACCUUGUACACCGAGUCCACCAAGAGGACCCGGUGGAGUACCAACUAGCGUAAUCCAAGCAGCGACGAGUUCUGUGUCGGACGAUCUUUAUCUUUUGGAACUUGGUUUUCCUCCACGUUCGAAGAAAAACAAAUUGAAGAAACCACGCCAAGGAGAAGGUGCUACAGUUAAAAGAAAAUCCCGAGAAGGUUCUACAACGUAUCUAUGGGAAUUUCUAUUGAAAUUGUUACAAGAUCGUGAAUAUUGUCCGAGAUAUAUUAAAUGGACGAAUCGCGAGAGAGGAGUAUUUAAAUUGGUUGAUAGUAAAGCAGUAUCGAGACUCUGGGGUUUGCAUAAGAACAAGCCUGACAUGAAUUACGAGACGAUGGGUCGCGCCUUGAGAUACUAUUAUCAACGUGGCAUUUUGGCGAAGGUCGACGGACAGAGAUUGGUAUAUCAAUUUGUCGACGUACCCAAGGAUAUAAUAGAGAUCGACUGUACGGGCGCGUGAGAUAGGUCUCGUUGCUGUUCCUCGAGAAAUGAAUAUGUUAAACUAACACGACGAGGAGGAAGAGGAGGAGGAGGAGGAGGAGAAGAAGGAGAAGGAGGUAGAAGAAGAAGAAGAGGAAGAAGAAAAAGAAAAAGAAGACGAGGAGGAAGAAAUUACCGCUACCUUGUAAACUUCAUUUUUCUUAAAAUAUCAUUGUCCUCCAGUGGAGUGUAUCAAUGAUUUAUUAUUUAUGCUGAAGACGUCCCAUUGACGACCUGCUGCCGGACACCCUAUAUAAAAAUCGUAAAAUAACAAGAGCUCGCCCCUCUCUACUAACUUCAUACGUUUCUCUUCUAUCCCCUUUUAUACGGUUCAAACUUUUACGAGAGAAUAAUCGAAUGUGACGAUAUUGAUGAUGUUUUCACAACAACAACAAAAUAAAAUCUAAAUAUCUAAAUAAUUCGACAUAAUCGUUAUAUAUAUAGUUCUCUCUAAUCGUAUCGUCCUCCUUUUGGUCUUUCUCCUUUGUUAGAAAAAAGAAAGAAAAAAAAAGAAACAUAAAAAAUCAUACAUUGUUCUUGGCUGUGUGCGUGCGUGAUCAUUAUUACUUGCGUCCACGUAUGUAUGUGUAUGCGUGAGCGUAUGUUUGUUGGGUUACGAUAUAUAGAUUAUGCUAAUGAGGGAAAUAGUUUGAAAAGAAUGAAAUAUAAAAAGUAAUCAAUCUAAUUAACUAACGUCCACGUAUAUACAAAAUAUAUAAUAUAUGCAUACCUCCUACGUAUAGACAUAAAUCGUAAAUGCAUAUGAUGCAGUUACGAAUGUCUUCUUCGACUCUUUUACAAAUUUGUACAAAAUUUAGUUCUUAUAUUUACAUAUAUGGCAGUCGUUAUUAAUUGAGAAUGAAUAAACAAAGAUAAAAGAUAGAAAGAGAGAGAGAGAGAGAGAGAGAGAGAGAGAGGAUAAGAAGAUGAAAAGGGGGUAGAGAGACUAUAUUUUUUUAAAUAUAAUCGAAGGGAUGGAUGAUAACUCUUCCGUUCGAGCUGAAGGUUAAACAACGUAAGGUGCUGGCUAUAUACAAAAUGAGGUCCAAGAAUGUUAUUUAGCAAAAAAAACUUAGUGUUACUGAUUUCAUAAAUAUUAUUGAAACGGAGACAUUUAAACAUCAGUGUAUAUAUAUAUAAAAAAAAAAAAUACAAAAC